rnacentral:rRNA from 1 species
CAGUAGCCGCGGGAAUACGUAGGUGGCAAGCGUUGUCCGGAAUUAUUGGGCAUAAAGGGCUCGCAGGCGGUUUCUUAAGUCCGAUGUGAAAGCCCCCGGCUCAACCGGGGAGGGUCAUUGGAAACUGGGAAACUUAAGUGCAGAAGAGGAGAGUGGAAUUCCACGUGCAGCGGUGAAAUGCGUAGAGAUGUGGAGGAACACCAGUGGCGAAGGCGACUCUCUGGUCUGUAACUGACGCUGAGGAGCGAAAGCGUGGGGAGCGAACAGGAUUAGAUACCCGCGUAGUCCCUGUCUCUUAUAC